rfam:Beta vulgaris subsp. vulgaris 0283.scaffold00742.con0009.1, whole genome shotgun sequence.
AUACCGUGGUGUGGGCAUUGACGCUGAAAAGCCUUGUAUCUAUGUCAUGAAUCUUAGAGAGACUCCGAUUCAUGUUUUUGAAAACCAGAUAUUUCAUUUAUGAACAU